rnacentral:sRNA from 1 species
UUCCAAGACUCCAGACACAUCCAAACAAGGUGCUGCAUGUGGCAGUCUGCCAUUUGUU